UACGGAGGGUGCAAGCGUUGUCCGGAAUCACUGGGCGUAAAGGGCGCGUAGGCGGCUCAUGAAGGCUGUGGUGAAAGUCCGGGGCUCAACCUCGGAUCGGCCGUGGCGACUCGUGGGCUGGAGCACUGUAGAGGCGGGUGGAAUUCCGGGUGUAGCGGUGGAAUGCGUAGAGAUCCGGAAGAACACCGGUGGCGAAGGCGGUCUGCUGGGCAGUUGCUGACACUGAGGCGCGACAGCGUGGGGAGCAAACGGG
rnacentral:rRNA from 1 species